UGAGGAACAUGACCUUCGGCGGGGGAUAGCCGGCCCAACGGCCGGGUAAUACCGCGUACGACCACAUGGGGACAUCCCUGAGUGGUGAAAGCAGCAAUGCGCCGAUGGAGUGCCUCGCGGCCUAUCAGCUAGUUGGUGAGGUAACGGCUCACCAAGGCGACGACGGGUANCUGGUCUGAGAGGAUGGCCAGCCACAUUGGGACUGAGACACGGCCCAGACCUNUACGGGA
rnacentral:rRNA from 1 species